GACGAACGCUGGCGGCGUGCCUAAUACAUGCAAGUCGAGCGAACAGACAGGGAGUUUCCUCCCCUGACGUUUGCCGCGCACGGGAGUGACACACGUGGAACCCGUCCCUAUACGACGGGGAUCACUUCGGAACAACGGAUAAAAUCCCAGAAAAUAUGAUGAUCCAUAUCGUUCAAUAGUGAAAGACAAUUUUGUCGCUACUUAUAGGACGAUCCGCGCCGCAUUAGCUAGUUGGGAAGAUAACGCCUUACCAAGGCAACGAUGCGUAGCCGCCCUGAGAGGGGGAUCGGCCACACUGGACCUGGGCCACGGUCCAGCCUCCUACGGGAGGCAGCAGAAGGGAAUCUUCCGCAAUGGGCGAAGUCCUGAUGGAGCACGGCCGCGGAAUUGAUGAAGGUCUUCGGACCGUAAAACUCUGUUAUUAGGGAAGAACAAAUGUGUAAGUAACUAUGCACGUCGUGACGGUACCUAAUCAGAAAGCCACGGCUAACUACGUG
rnacentral:rRNA from 1 species